ensembl:scaRNA
GCUGGAGGAUCAAGAAGGCUGAGUCUGAUGAAGCAAGACUUUGCUGAUACACUCCUCCUAGAGAAGAGGGUAGAAAGAACAGCCCUUCCUGGAGAAAACCACAGGGUUGACUGCACUACCCAACAUUU